GCCGGAGGACUGAAGACUGAAGACUGAAGUUGCCGACUGUUGACGAAUUAAGGCAGAGUCAAAUACUGAUAUUUGACUAACCAGUCCAAGAAUCAGUUACGACUGAUUACUUAAUGCGAGCCACGUGGAUUCAGCGACUAUACUAAAGUCAAGUAUCAGUUAAACAUUCUUCCUCGGACUGAAGCUCCAAAGCUUAAAGGAAGCCACGCACUCCAGAAGUACAGC
rnacentral:lncRNA from 1 species